rnacentral:rRNA from 1 species
AUUGAACGCUGGCGGCAGGCCUAACACAUGCAAGUCGAACGAGUGGCGGACGGGUGAGUAAUGUCUGGGAAACUGCCCGAUGGAGGGGGAUCACUACUGGAAACGGUAGCUAAUACCGCAUACCAUCGGAUUAGCCCAGAUGGGAUUAGCAGGUUGGUGGGGUAACGGCUCACCUAGGCGACGAUCCCUCGCUGGUCUGAGAGGAUGACCAGCUACACUGGAACUGAGACACGGUCCAGACUCCUACGGGAGGCAGCGGGGGGGAAGAUUGCACAAUGGGCGCAAGCUUGAGGCAGCCAUGCCGCGUGUAUGAAGAAGGCCUUCGGGUUUUAAAGUACUUUCAGCGGGGAGGCGUUACUCGCAGAAGAAGCACCGGCUAACUCCGUGCCAGCAGCCGCGGUAAUUC